GUACGCCAAGCUAAGCUUGCGACUCGUCCUAUCCUACUACCUUCAGCGCAGUAAUUCCUUCUUGCCCCCGCUCGACUCGGCCGAGUCCUGCUGGCGAGCUUAUCAGGAUGUCGUCGACGAAUUCCGACCUAACUUUAAUAUUCGAUCCUCUUGCGGCUUCAACACCAGUUGGAUCUCUCAAGGCUGCAUGGACAUCACUACCAGAUCCCAAUUCGAGUCCUUGGUUCCCAAAUCCUCGCUAAGUGACGUCGUUUCCAAUUGUAACCAGUCGCUUGAGAAUAAUUCCCCCUGUGCCACUUGCACUGCCAGCUUGUCGAAGCAGCAGGCCUCGUACUUGACCGGGAAGUCCGUCGGGAACUUGUCGGAUUGUCAAGCGUAUCCGUCAAUUUAUGCGGCGGCGUUCGCUAAUAGGUAUGGUCCCACCGAUAGAGGUACAGCUAAGUGUUUGUUUUUGCUUGAUUUCGUUCCUAAGAAAUCCGGUCGCAAAAAGAAGAAGGUUUUGAUUUGGCUUAUUCCUAUUUUGGGCGUGGGAUUGUUGAUAGUAAUUGGUGGGUGUUGGUUUUGGAGGCGAAGAUAUGAGGGUUUGAGGAGAAAAAAGAAAAGAGAUAGAAUUGGUAGGGGAGUAGAGAUGAAUUUGAGUUCUGGAUUGGAGUCCAUUAGUGGAAGUACUACUCUUGUUGAAUACAAAUUUGAUGAGAUAAAAAAUUCCUAGUUGCCUUUUUU
rnacentral:misc_RNA from 1 species